UUUUUUUUUUUUUUUUGUUUUAUUUUGUUUUUUUGAGACAGGGUUUCUCUGUAUAGCCCUGGCUGUCCUGGAACUCACUUUGUAGACUAGGCUGGCCUCGAACUCAGAAAUCCACCUGCUUCUGCCUCCCGAGUGCUGGGAUUUAAAGCGUGUGCCACCACUGCCCAGCUUAUACAUUUUGUUUUUUAACUUUAAAUUUUAUUAUUAUCAUUGUGUAUAUGAACCCCCCCCCAGUGCUUGCUCUCUCUCUCCUCUCUCUCCCCCACCUCUGUGUGUGUGUGCGUGUGUGUAUGUGUGUAUGGAGUGGGGUGGUGGUGGAGGAUACAUGCCACAGUGCAUAUGUAGAGAUCAGAGGAUAACUGGAGAUCAGACUCAAGUUGUCAGGCUUGAGUGACAAGUGCUUUAUCCACUGAGCCACCUCAGUGGCCCUGGUUUAAACUUUUUAUUGGGGUUUUUGAACUUGAGAUCUUCCCACUUAGCCCCGGGUACUGAAAUUAUGGGUCUGGACCACUCCAUCUGGCUUGGUAGGCAUGCUUUUUCUUCUUUUAAUCUGUGUGUGUGUGUGUGUGUGUGUGUGUGUGUGUGUUAUAUCCUAGAAAAUAUAUUAUCCUAGGAUUCUUCUUUGCCCCCAGUCCUCAAAUUUUUAUAACUCAUUUUAAUUAGUAUAUUUUCAUCUCAAGAGUGUAUAAUCACUGUUAUUUAAAAACAAUUUUAUUUUGUGUUUUUGAGUGUUCUAUCUGCAUGUGUUUAUGUGUGCCACAUGUGUGCUCAGAGCCCACGAGGUCAGAAGAGGGCAUCAGACUCCCUGGAACUGGAGCUAAGCCAUUUUUACAUAUUCAGUUAUAAUCACCCACAUUUACCAUUUGUUUAUUUAAUGUUCUUCUAUCUUUGGUCCUUAUUAUAAAACCAUCUUUUUAUUUCCUCCAAAGUACCCUCUCCUCUCUCUGGGAGCACGCUAAUGGGACUUCCCGAGUUUGCAGGCAGACUUUAGUGUGUUCUAGAUAUUCAUUGUCUUCUGUGAGUUGUUUCUCUUGGAAAGCGCGCUAACUGUCCCUCAGACGCUGUCACUUUGUUGUCCCUAUGGCAUGUUUUCACCUCCUGCUUACAUUUCUUUUUUACUUUUUCUGCUUGUUUUUGUUUUGUUUUGUUUUUCUAUAAUCAAGAUUGGUGGUUUUCUUGUUUGUUUUUUUUUAAAGGCACCACCCUUUGGGCAUAGUAUAGUUUCUUUAUAUAUUCUUUAUAUACUGUUUCAUCUGUUUAUCCAACCAACACCCCUCACCCACCACUGUCUGUGUAUAUCUCCUACUUCUCCAUCUCUCUUUGCCACUCAAAUAGAUAUACGUCUGACCAUCUUACUGUCUCUUAUUUAUACCAGAGAGUGAUUUUUUACAUGUUUAUUUUGUUUUGGUUUGUUUGUUUUGUUUUGUUUUGUUUUGUUUUGUUCUGUUCUGUUCUGUUCUGUUUUGUUUUGUUUUUCGAGACAGGAUUUCUCUAUGUAGCCCUGGCUGUCCUGGAACUCACUUUGUAGACUAGGCUGGCCUCGAACUCAGAAAUCCACCUGCCUCUGCCUCCCGAGUGCUGGGAUUAAAGGCGUGCGCUAACACGCCUGGCUGAUUUGAUAUGUUUUAUCUAUUUUCUUCUGAUCUAUGUUCCAGUUCUUGGUUUCUCUUGCUGUGUUUAAUCUCCUUUUAAGGACAUUAACUCUGGAAAGUCCAUUUGGUUUAUUUUUAUAAUUUGCAUAUACCACAGUUCUCACACUUGGUUUUUAAUAUUAUUGAGCAUGCCUUGCUCUUCUGAGAGCCCUUUUCACCCCUGCUGCCUGCGGCCCUCUGUGCCUGUUCCCCUGCUGUUCUCAGUUCUCAUUUAGGCUUUGUCAUUUCAUUUUUUUGAUAAUUACACUUCUAGUUUUAAAGAUUUUUCUUUAUUUUCUGUGUAUGAGUGUUUUACCUGUCUGUCUGUCUGUGUACCAUAUGCAUUCAGUGACUGCAGAGGGCAGAAGAGGGUGUCAGAGCCCAUGAAACUAGAGUUACAGAUGGUUGUGAGACACUGUGUGGGUGCCGGAUGCUGGAAACUCAGUCCUGAUCAUUUUGUUUAUUAGAGAAUUUUGCUGUUGUUAUUGUUAUAAAUCAAAGUUGCUUUAAAUUUAGGUAUUGAUAACAAUUUGAAAUCCAGCUUCCACGUUGGUGAUUUUGUUGGCAGCUGCUGUCAUUAGGUUAUGCGCUCUUAACACCUUCGUCAUUUCCAGAGUGACCAGGAAUCCUCUCCCUUCUUUCUUGGUAACGACUCCUGUGUCUGUCUGCCCAUCUGCCUAUCUGCCCAUAGUUUUAUUAAAAGCUAGUCGUCAGCACCGCCUGGCCUGGCCUGCCAAACAAAGUUGAGUUUUUGUUUUUUGUUUUUUUGGGUUUUUUUGCUAUUGUCCACCUGACCCUGCCCAGCCCCCAUACAUAGUUUACUCAACAGACUUGCUUCCUUUCUUUUUUAUGUUUUGUUUUUUGCUUUGUUGUUUUGUUUUUCCAGAUAGGUCUCUUUGUAGCCCUGGCUGUCCUGAAAUCUACUUUGUAGAUUAGACUGGCCUCGAACUCAGAGAUCUGCCAGCCUCUAUCUCAGGUAGAGUGCUGAGAUUAAAGGUGUGGGCCACCACUGCCCACCCCCCACCUGUCUUUCUUUUCCUUGGGUGAUGUAAUUGGUCUCUGAAGUUUUUGCUAUUUUAAGGUGCAUUUUGUCCAGUUUGUAUGGCUAUUCUCAGAAUUGGGUAUUGGUACAAAUUACUUUAUGUCACAUAUGCACCAGACACUAUACCCUUUGCUUUCUAGAAAAGGAAACCAAGGCUCAGAGAGUCUGAAGGGCUUGUUCUCUACCCCACAGCUGAUAGUGGAGGCUGUGUGAGUUUACAUUUACUUUACAGUCACUGCAAGACUAAUGCAUAGGGUAUAUGCUGAUCUAAUUUCCAUGUUACAACCACUGUGUUUGAGAAUCUAAAAACAGCCCUGGGCUUUUCUAGG
rnacentral:lncRNA from 1 species